UUAAAGAAGUAGUGUAUAGUUUUAAAGAGCUGCAUGUAAAAGGGAUUUUUAAAGAGUCCUUAUACACAGACCGGAGGGAAGCAAUAUGAAAGUAACUGUUAUUGCAUUACUUUGCCUGCUUUACAGCUGUUCCAGAACAACAUCUGGAGCUGUUUGCGGCCGAACAAGAUACCAUCCAACCUUUGAAAUUUGUUGUAACGGCGUCCUCAGUCAUAAGGGAUCGAGUUCAUCUUGCUGUGGUGUAGUUCCGUAUAAUCCACAUUUCAGUAUAUGCUGUAACGGCGUCCUCAGCCAUAAAGGAUCGAGUUCGUCUUGCUGUGGUGUAGUACCGUAUAAUCCAUAUUUCAGUAUAUGCUGUAACGGCGUCCUCAGUCAUAAGGGAUCGAGUUCAUCUUGCUGUGGUGUAGUUUCCGUAUAAUCCACAUAUCAGUAAUUGCUGUAACGGCGUCCUCAGUCAUAAGGGAUCGAGUUCAUCUUGCUGUGACACAGUUCCGUACAGUCCACAUUUCAGUAUAUGCUGUAACGGCGUCCUCAGUCAUAAGGGAUCGAGUUCAUCUUGCUGUGGUGCAGUUCCGUAUAAUCCACAUUUCAGAAUUUGUUGUAACGGCGUCCUCAGUCAUAAAGGAUCGAGUUCGUCUUGCUGUGGGACAAGACCAUACAAUCCUUAUUUUAGUAGUUGUUGUAAUGGAUACAUUUGCUGAAUUCAGUGUUAGAUAUUAUAACGUACAAAAGUGUUAAUAAAACGAAUAUUAGUUAACUUGACUUUUCAAUGUAUACUUGUUGACGCAUUUGACAUUGAUGCACAUGAGAUAUUAAUAAAGAAAGACAACUUUUAGUAUGCUUUGAUAAUAAACAUAAGAUCAAUCAUU